AGGAGUCUUCCCAACCCGUCUUGAAGAAAUUGGUGGAAGUGUUUAUGGCGCCUACGUGGUUCUGGGAAGGGGCUCUGUGCUGGUGGUUUGGGAUGGCAGUCUUUUGGAAGUGCAAACUUGAAUGGCCUCAGUUGCUGUGAAGACGCUUUCCCAGGCUUCUUCUCUCCCGUUGCCCCACCCCCGAUGCUGGCAGGAAAGCUCUGGUCACCAAAGAUGAUAAAUAAAUGAAUUGUUCAUUUGGUUUCCGCUGUCUUGCCUCUUUCUCUGCAGUCAACGUUGUCAAAGGCUGCCCAGCAUGAAUCAGAAGUGCUGGUUGAACACUUACCCUAGACAUCUGGGGUUGUUUUUGUGGCAGCAUUUACAUUUGAAUUCACCUCAUACCAUAGAAGAGAUUAACCAGUGGCUGCAGCAUCAUAUCCAGUGGGGAGUCACAGAAUGACUGUUUCUGUGCUUUUAUGUUCUGGACCAUAAAACACGUUGGUGAGGUCUGAUAAUUGUUUUACUGAAAAGGAGCUUCAAGGGUGCCCUCAAAUGAGCUUCUCCUUGCACCAUGUUAAAGGUAGGCUUUCACAAUAAAGUCUUUUGAACAACAAAAAA